rnacentral:rRNA from 1 species
GAUGAACGCUGGCGGCGUGCCUAAUACAUGCAAGUCGAGCGAAAAGACGAGGAGGUUGCUCCUCGGACGUUAGCGGCGGACGGGUGAGGAACACGAGGAUAAUCUACCUAUAAGACUGGGAUAACUUCGGGAAACCGGAGCUAAUACCGGAUAAUAUAUUGAUCCGUAGGGUUUAAUAGUGAAAGUCGGUUGUGCUGUCACUUAUAGAUGGAUCUGCGCCGCUUUAGCUAGUUGGUAAGGUAACGGCUUAUCAAGGCAACGAUGCGUAGCCGACCUGGGCGGGUGAUCGGCCCCCCUGCACCGGGGCCACGGUCCAGACUCCUACGGGAGGCAGCAGUAGGGUAUCUUCCGCAAUGGGCGAAAUCCUGACGGAGCACCGCCGCGCGAGGGAUGAAGGUCUUCGGAUCGUAAAACUCUGUUAUUAGUGAAGAACAAAUGUGUAAGUAACUAUGCACGUCUUGACGGUACCUAAUCAGAAAGCCACGGCUAACUACGUG